CCUACGGGAGGCAGCAGUAGGGAAUAUUGCUCAAUGGGGGAAACCCUGAAGCAGCAACGCCGCGUGGAGGAUGAAGGUUUUCGGAUUGUAAACUCCUUUUGUUAGAGAAGAUAAUGACGGUAUCUAACGAAUAAGCACCGGCUAACUCCGUGCCAGAAGCCGCGGUAAUACGGAGGGUGCAAGCGUUACUCGGAAUCACUGGGCGUAAAGAGGGCGUAGGCGGGAUAGCAGGUCAGAUGUGAAAUCCUAUGGCUUAACCAUAGAACUGCAUUUGAAACUGGUAGUCUAGAGUAUGGGAGAGGUAGGUGGAAUUCUUGGUGUAGGGGUAAAAUCCGUAGAGAUCAAGAGGAAUACUCAUUGCGAAGGCGACCUGCUAGAACAUAACUGACGCUGAUGCGCGAAAGCGUGGGGAGCAAACAGGAUUAGAUACCCUAGUAGUC
rnacentral:rRNA from 1 species